GUAGCAAUAGAACACAACGCAGUUUGCCCCGUUUUGUUUGUCUUUUGUCUGAUCGAAAAUGUCUUAAAAGUUGCUAUCGGGGUAACCCCCGGAACUUAUCAACCCCCCGACUUUUAACUCGAUUCUGGGUAUAGCAUCAUUGUUUCUUCAAGUUCCAUUUGUUUGUGUUUGCCCGUUUGUUUGCGUACUCCCCUCGAUUUUUACAAUACCAAAGGAGCGAAAUAAAACGACUAUUCUGCUGGCAGUGGAAUUCGGAUCAACAGCCGCCGCCUCAUUAAAAUUUUAUAUUUCAAUCAAAGUUCGCUGCUUGAAGUGUUUUGCCAGACGGGCGGGUAAGUUGCCAAUUGUAGUUGUUUCGCGGGCUCAAAGGGUAGCAGAUUGGGCAAACAAACUCCCGACCCUUCGCCUCCGGCCAGUUGCGUCUUGUUUUCCCAAAUUUGGUUGGCCAUCGCAGGAGCCGUAGAAAGUUGCACAGUGGUGGUGUAAUCCGAUCUAUCAUAACUACACACAAGUUGGCUAAUUAUGCAACAAAAACUGUGGAGGAGACAACGGCACACGUGUCCCGAGUUUUCCGAGACAUCCGCUUUUCCAACACCACCCGAAUAUCCCAGUUACCAACUCACGCUGAGUUAGAAAAUUUGUUACGCUCGCAGCGCAAGACUCACAAGCCAGUGGUAAUCUGAGGCUCCGCAUUCUCAUCCGCUUUUCCUGCCCUUCAACGACUGACAUUUCGUGCACAAUUUCCCAUUUAAGCCCUUUUAAUUUUCCUGAAUUAUGAUAAAGACGCAAUCGAGUCCCCAUAGCGAUUUUAAUGGCGAAAAGGCUUACUACCAAUUUGGUAUAUUGUGUUGCAUGUGUUCUACGGAAAAGGAACAUGAAAUCGAGCUAAAUUCCCAACUUUUCAUGCUUAACCCUUUUUUUGCAGGAGUAAACAAAAAACCUAAUUUAAUUUAAUACACAGACUUCAAUUGUUUGUUUAUACGCCGUGUAAGCCAAAGUAAAAUCAACGUUAAUGCGCUACAAAUUAAAGGUUGUGUGUAAAGGCAUGUGGAAUACAUAAGGAUAUUUCCUGUUUAAAGGAAUGCAAUAACCUGUGCUUUAACAUCGGAUCGAAACGCAAGGUAAGUAAACAGCUAGCCACUCCGGAAUUCCCGAUGGGUUUAAAAAUUAAUACUCGGUCACGUGCCGUUGAUUAAUGAAAUAUACGAGCAGAAGCGGUAAAAAUGCUGCAAAAGAUGAAAGCAGCGAAAUCAAGGCUCCCAGGACAAACACUUUAAGAAACGCUUAUGACACGCAUACGCCGUGUGGCGCGAAUUGAAAAGAAACUUGCGCAUACAAAUUGACAAAUAUUUGGAAAGGAUUGCGAGCGGAGUGGAAAAGUGGGAAAAGCGGGAAAAGCGUGCAGAGGUGCACGAGCGGGGAAGGACGAGGAAAAUGGCGGCGAGGCGGCAGCGACAAUGACAUUAAAUGAGCCAGUGUAUGGAGUGCGCGUAGCAAAAGUCAAACAAGAGAUAAAAGCAAGGAUUAGUACGUUAAAACGCAGACGACGACGACAAGGACGAGGGCGAGAGCGAAUGAGUGGGAUGAAAGGGGAGGUCCUACCAACAGGAUCUGGGGAUGAGUCCUGCAACGUUAAGUAGACAGAUGAACGUAAAACACGCUCGUGGCUGCGGUAAUGUCUACGACACAGCCACCCACUAAAACCGCCCAGCCAGCCAUCUUAGUGUGCGUGCGUCUUAUCGUUAAGGCUCUAGUCCCCGCAUGUAUGUGUGUGUGUGUGCGCCAGGAUACCCGGAAAGCAACAAAAAAAUGAAGGGGAAAGGAAAGGAAAACUCCUUGAAAAAGCAUGUUGAAAGUAAAUUGAAGCAGGAAUUUCUGCAAGUGAACAAAGAGCGGGGUGGGCGCGGUCACAAAAAGUUGCCAAGGAGCAGAACUUUGCCAACUGCUUACAAGUUAAAGGAACUUCCCACACAACUAUUUGGGGCAGCUUUAAGCAGUAGAACGGGGAGCCGUACCAACUUUUAUACAAUACCAAUGAUGGGGUUUUGCAAAACUGUACUAGCUGCCCUCGUUACCUGCUCACUUAUUCAUUUGACUGGGUAAAUUUGUCUUCAGCAAUUUGAUGGCUUAAUGAAUGUCCGCCCCAGCAAAUGGCUCAAUCCAGAAUGGCAACCAAAAAGCCAACCACUUCCACCCUCCCCUCCCCCAUGCUUUGUCUUUGAAAACCUGGCCAUAAUCCCCGCCCGGCUGACAGUGACUGACUGAAUGAAUGAACGAAUGACUGAAUGAGCGACUGACUGACUGGCUGACUGACUUGCAGGCUGCUCAUCCGCUCCGUUGCUGAUAAAUUAACUUCAUAAUCGGCACAGUUAUAAGCGCUGAUGUUCGGCAUUACUCUUCCAUAUUUUUGGGGUGCCCACCUGCCCUUGGAAGCCGCCGAAAACAAAGCUUUAUUCCGGGUCAGAAUCGGGGGUGGCGAACUGUACGUGACGUUAAUGGCAACCAAACAGGCAACAGGGCUAACUUUCUACCUUUCGCCCAGGGGAUGCCGGCCAACUUUGCGUUGCGAAAAAUUGCUCUCAAAAUAUAAUUGAAUGUGUUUAAUUUCGCUUUUAAUUUUUUGGCAUUGUGUUUGUCUUUGUGUUGUGACCUCCCCUUAUAUAAUGGGGCGCGUAAUGAGCUCUUGGCCAAAACGUAACGCGGAAAUGGGCACUUGGGUUAAAUGAGACAGCAGCGAGAUCCUUUGUCAACGCUUUAGAAGACUUUUGCAGGAUAACCCGGAAGUCAAAUUAGGUAUUUUGAGUGGGGGAUUCACCACGCAAAUCAUAAACGAAGCUUAUUGUUUUUAGCUUUGGAAAACGUAGCUUUGGCAAAGAGAUAUGAAUUAAGGAAUAAAUAAUAGAUCGUAUUUAAGAUAGUUUUGGUAAACGUCAUAUAAGAAGGCAUUAAAAUUAUAUCCCACAAAUAUUUAGAUGCUUAAAAUAAAUUGAAUAACCUUGAUAGUGUUUUCCUGUCAAUAAUCAAAGUAGAGGAUUUUUCCGUCGCAGACGAAACGUGAGACUGUUCAAAUGAUAAACCCCAAGAAUCCAGUUAUGGCAAACGCGAACGAUUAAAAUCUUGAAUGUCAAGCGGAAAAUUGUUGAGCGAAACGAUGGUGAUGGAGAUGAACAUGGAGAUGAUGAUGGUGACGUCGUUGAUGUUGAUGGCGCAGAGACAAAGAUAGCAAACAAAUAAAAACGCAUCUGAUGCCAGGGAACAAGAAUCACUAGACAAACUGAAAUCCGAAACACACGGCAAAAAGAGAAAAACCGCGGCAAAGCAACCGAAAAUCAAAGUACCUUGGCUGCAACCUGCAAUUAUGCGACAGCAACCAGGACAACUGCCUGCCUUUUCCGAUUUCAAGUAAAAGGGAAAUGCGAAAUGGGAAAUGGAAGAGUGGAAAGUGGAAAGUGGAAAGGGUGCUCCGUGAAAUCCGAGGCGAUAUCAAAAAGCAGCGAGCAUCGUUUUAGGGGCUGACUCCUAUGCAAAGGAAGUGCCUGGAAGUGGGAUGGAGUGGUCCUGGUAAUGUCCCAGCUCUACCGCAAUAUGGUACACAGAUACAGGAAUAAUCGCACGAAUAACUCUCGACGAGCGACACUCAAAUGGAGGGGGUAGAGGAACCCCAUCGAACAGAGGAAAAACCCAAAGAAUCCUUUUUGCCAUCCCGACCAACUCUACGGUUUCAAUUAUCAAAAGCCGGGCGACGACGGUGACAAAGCGAAAAGGUCGCCUUUGUUUGUUGUUCGGCGUGUAUACUCGUAUAUAUACCGAAAUAAAGGCGAUUAGCAUUUCUAAGCCCUAGAUUACCUGAAGUAGUUUAUACAGCCCCGUCUUCGAUAACAAGAUUGCCCGGCUUUGUUUGCUUGUUUGUGACGAUUUUGCCAGCGGUUCUCAGGCGCCUGCAACCCUCUGAAAGAUUUCAUGUCAUCUAACGCCUCACUGCACUUCCCUCGCAGGCAUCCGAAAUUCAUGCCUCAGUUGCCUUUUAUGCGGUACCGCAAAUUCCCAAGCUCGAUUGAUCCGAACUCGAGGCAAAUCGUCUGGCCGGCCAAGGAAUGAGCAGUUAUCCUUCAGCAAGGACCUCCUUUUACAUAACUCCGCGCAGUUCAGUGCGUUCUUUCAAUGCGUUCAUAUGUGGAUAUGUGAAGUGGCCGAGGGAAUCUCAUUGCUUAUGCGAUGAUUUAUUCAGAGGAGUCCAUAAUUGCAUUUCGUUUAAUAUACUGCUCCGCUUCUGUUGGUUAAUGGCAAUCGUGGUUGAUUAGCGCACUUUAUUGGAAAAUCAAAAUUGUUCAAGCGCCCUUCGUACAUCUGUCAACAGCUUGAUUGUUCGUUUUCUUAGAUGAUACCCUAAAUUUCUCAAAGGAAAAAAAUAGAUAAAGAAAUGAAAUGGGACAAGAAAUAAUUAUUUGGAACCUUAGUCCAACGAUUCGCAUUUGUUUCAUUUUAGUUAGUUGCGUUUUUAACUCAGUU